rnacentral:lncRNA from 1 species
CGCGGCCACAGCCAAAGCCAGCCCCGGGCGGGCGCCGGGAGCCCCGGCCGGAAGGCAAGCGAGGCGCGGGGAGUCCGCCGGCCGCGACCGCGCAGGGACCAGGGAUCCGAUUGCCUUCCUUGACAUUAUAGCAUCCACAGAAGAAAGGGCAGGGCGUACGUCUCAGUCUUCCUUUAGGCUGGUUACUUUGGUGGACACAGACUUGUCACUGCAGUGUAGAUCCCAACCAUCAGGCUGUCUUUCUCAAGAUGUUCUUGAGUGAGAGAAGCAGUAAAUAGAGGAGGAGGAAGAGGAGAAAGAGAGGAAGAAAAAAAAUUCGUGAUUAAGAAAGGUAAGUUCAAGUACACAGGGAAGAUGAAGUGAAGCAGUUCCCUUCACUUGGGCAAAUGAGUCUCCUGAGAA